rnacentral:rRNA from 1 species
GCCUAACACAUGCAAGUCGAACGGUAACAGGAAGCAGCUUGCUGCUUCGCUGACGAGUGGCGGACGGGUGAGUAAUGUCUGGGAAGCUGCCUGAUGGAGGGGGAUAACUACUGGAAACGGUAGCUAAUACCGCAUAAUGUCGCAAGACCAAAGAGGGGGACCUUCGGGCCUCUUGCCAUCGGAUGUGCCCAGAUGGGAUUAGCUUGUUGGUGGGGUAACGGCUCACCAAGGCGACGAUCCCUAGCUGGUCUGAGAGGAUGACCAGCCACACUGGAACUGAGACACGGUCCAGACUCCUACGGGAGGCAGCAGUGGGGAAUAUUGCACAAUGGGCGCAAGCCUGGUGCAGCCAUGCCGCGUGUAUGAAGAAGGCCUUCGGGUUGUAAAGUACUUUCAGCGGGGAGGAAGGGAGUAAAGUUAAUACCUUUGCUCAUUGACGUUACCCGCAGAAGAAGCACCGGCUAACUCCGUGCCAGCAGCCGCGGUAAUACGGAGGGUGCAAGCGUUAAUCGGAAUUACUGGGCGUAAAGCGCACGCAGGCGGUUUGUUAAGUCAGAUGUGAAAUCCCCGGGCUCAACCUGGGAACUGCAUCUGAUACUGGCAAGCUUGAGUCUCGUAGAGGGGGGUAGAAUUCCAGGUGUAGCGGUGAAAUGCGUAGAGAUCUGGAGGAAUACCGGUGGCGAAGGCGGCCCCCUGGACGAAGACUGACGCUCAGGG